GACGAACGCUGGCGGCGUGCUUACACAUGCAAGUCGAACGGAAAGGCCCUGCUUUUGUGGGGUGCUCGAGUGGCGAACGGGUGAGUAACACGUGAGUAACCUGCCCUUGACUUUGGGAUAACUUCAGGAAACUGGGGCUAAUACCGGAUAGGAGCUCCUGCUGCAUGGUGGGGGUUGGAAAGUUUCGGCGGUUGGGGAUGGACUCGCGGCUUAUCAGCUUGUUGGUGGGGUAGUGGCUUACCAAGGCUUUGACGGGUAGCCGGCCUGAGAGGGUGACCGGCCACAUUGGGACUGAGAUACGGCCCAGACUCCUACGGGAGGCAGCUGUGGGGAAUAUUGCACAAUGGGCGGAAGCCUGAUGCAGCAACGCCGCGUGCGGGAUGACGGCCUUCGGGUUGUAAACCGCUUUCGCCUGUGACGAAGCGUGAGUGACGGUAAUGGGUAAAGAAGCACCGGCUAACUACGUGCCAGCAGCCGCGGUGAUACGUAGGGUGCGAGCGUUGUCCGGAUUUAUUGGGCGUAAAGGGCUCGUAGGUGGUUGAUCGCGUCGGAAGUGUAAUCUUGGGGCUUAACCCUGAGCGUGCUUUCGAUACGGGUUGACUUGAGGAAGGUAGGGGAGAAUGGAAUUCCUGGUGGAGCGGUGGAAUGCGCAGAUAUCAGGAGGAACACCAGUGGCGAAGGCGGUUCUCUGGGCCUUUCCUGACGCUGAGGAGCGAAAGCGUGGGGAGCGAACAGGCUUAGAUACCCUGGUAGUCCACGCUGUAAACGGUGGGUACUAGGUGUGGGGUCCAUUCCACGGGUUCCGUGCCGUAGCUAACGCUUUAAGUACCCCGCCUGGGGAGUACGGCCGCAAGGCUAAAACUCAAAGGAAUUGACGGGGCCCCGCACAAGCGGCGGAGCAUGCGGAUUAGUUCGAUGCAACGCGUAGAACCUUACCUGGGUUUGACAUGGAUCGGGAGUGCUCAGAGAUGGGUGUGCCUCUUUUGGGGUCGGUUCACAGGUGGUGCAUGCCUGUCGUCAGCUCGUGUCGUGAGAUGUUGGGUUAAGUCCCGCAACGAGCGCAACCCUUGUUCACUGUUGCCAGCACGUUAUGGUGGGGACUCAGUGGAGACCGCCGGGGUCAACUCGGAGGAAGGUGGGGAUGACGUCAAGUCAUCAUGCCCCUUAUGUCCAGGGCUUCACGCAUGCUACAAUGGCUGGUACAGAGAGUGGCGAGCCUGUGAGGGUGAGCGAAUCUCGGAAAGCCGGUCUCAGUUCGGAUUGGGGUCUGCAACUCGACCUCAUGAAGUCGGAGUCGCUAGUAAUCGCAAAUCAGCAACGCUGCCGGUGAAUACGUUCCCGGG
rnacentral:rRNA from 1 species